rnacentral:tRNA from 1 species
GCCUGGGUGGCUCAACGGUUGAGCGUCUGCCUUCGGCGCAGGUCACGAUCCCAGGGUCCUGGGAUCGAGUCCCACAUCGGGUU